CCCCCCCAGGGAGCCGCCCCGCUUCCGCCGCUGGUCAUGGGUGGGGGAAGAUCUAAGUGGCUCACGCGCAGAGCCUAGCCGGGCCCGGCCCCCUGGGCGAUGGGCAGGGCUGGCUGCCUUGCAGAGUUCUCGGCCCUGCGUGGCUUGGGAGAGGAGCCUUGCACGGUGGCAAUGGUGGAUAUUCCUCCCGUGUCAGUCCCGGGGCUCCCACUGCCGCCUUUUGCUGCGGGUAGGCAUGGCAUGCAGACUCUUCCUUGGGGCAGGAAGUUCUCCCGGGAGAGCUGGCUCAAUCAUUGGAGUCUGAAACAGCCGGGCUUUCCUAACGACUCCUUUGCCUUCCAGCAGGGGCAACUGACCCCUUCCUCCACUCGUGAGAGAGAGAGAGGUCUGCUAUGAUGUUUUGUUUGUAUCUUUCAGGUCCAGAUCCUGUACUACUGUGGGCUGGCAAUCAAUGCAGCAGGGAUCAAUUUAGUGGGUCUACUGAAGACCUACUAAAAUGAUGGCAGAGCACUCUCCAGUCGACCCUGCUAUUCCAGCUAUCCAAGAAGAGUAAGGGAAGUUGACCGGAGAGCAGCUCCUGGCGACACAGUGCAGUAAAGACACCAGGGUACAUCUAAAUGCCUUAUGCUAAGGAGAGUGCUGAAGAGAGGUGAAGCCAGGGGACAGGUAUGCACUGCUUCCACAGAGGCUGCAGAUCGGUACAUUGCAGAGUAAUGAGACACACUGAAUCCAUCAUCUAGGAGGAAAACUGACAGCAUCCAUGUCUCAUGAAAGAAAGAUCACAGCCCGUCUGGCUGUAAAGCACUGCA